UGAUCAAGCAGCCGUCCAGAGAUGUGCCUC
rnacentral:piRNA from 1 species